rnacentral:piRNA from 1 species
UAUACCAGUACUACCACACGAGAUAGUGA